CCCAAUUUCACUCUAUUGACCUAGUCGACUGCUCUCUCACUCUCUUGACGACUCAUCUCUCUCUUCUCACAGAGAAAGGAUUUACAACAGCUUUCAAUUAUCAGUGAAGGUUUUAUUCUGUGGUUUAUCAAGGAUUGUGAGUCCCUUUCUCUCUCUGAAUUCUACUUCUCACUAUAGCUCCUAUUUCUGGUUCUAGUAAUCUUGAAUUAAGUUCUUGGGCUUUAUCUUUGUUGUGGAAUUCCUAUUUAAUUUUGGUUUAAAACUUAGUCUGCUGUUUCGAUAGUUAAGGAUGUUCUAAGUGGAGGAACUACCUGUAAUAAUCAGGACUAGGGCAAAACUGUUACUGUUGGAUAGAUCAUAAUAUUAUUUAUAUCUCGAUCUGGUUUUUUUUGUUAUCUGCUUUAUCUUUAUGGAAAACACUGCGGAUUGUGAGUCCCCUUUCCUAUUUAAUUCGAAUUAGUAGCUUACUGUCCUAUGUUGCCGCUUAAUUGAGUCAUUUUUCAUUUUCCAUGUGCACUUAGAAAUGUCUCGUAAUAUUAAUUUAGCUUAUUUUUUAUAAAAAAAUAUGGAGUCUCAAAAUGAAGAGAAUCCGAUUGGUUCGUCUUCUAGUACUUUUUCUAUAGAGAGUGAGAGUCAAUUGUCUAUGCAAGUCGAUGAAGUUACUAUUGAAGUUAUUGAUGAAACUGGGAAAAGAAAAUUUAUUUCCCAUGCAUGGAAGCAUUUUACUUGUCACGACCCGGAUUUUCCACCCUCGGGAGUCGUGAUGACGCCUACUAGUGAAAGCUAGGCAAGCCAACCAUUCCAAUUUAGUUACCCUUUUCAAGUCUUUAAGUCCUUAUAAUUUCAAUACAGUAUAUAUGAAACAGCGGGAAUAAUAAGAUCAUUUAACAAGCGGAAGACGAAUCUGAUAAUUUAACUUAAUACAAACCACGGAAGACGAAAACUUAAUAGUUUAACCAAACAUUUCUACAUUAUCUGAAGUACAAUACUACCCAGAAUUUGGUGUCACAAGUCACAGACUAUCUAAGAAUACUACAAACAAGGUCUGAAUAGAAUUACACAAAUAUGUCUCUGACCGGUGAUAAUUAAUGGUGUUCGUUUUGAUGUUUGUAAGUAUUGUAAUACUCGUAUCAAAUCAACAAGAAAUUGUGGGACAUUGUCCAUGUUAGAUCAUAUUCGUAGUCGAUGUUGCAAAAAGUCAAGAAACUUGGACAAUGAUGGUAGUUCGGUGGGUGAUGGUAGCCAACAACACUAUUUUAAUCAAGAUAUUUCACGCAGAGAACUUGCUCAUGCUAUCAUUUUGCAUGAGUAUCCAUUGUCCAUUGUUGAUCAUGUAGGAUUUAGGAAGUUUGUUACUAGUCUCCAACCGUUAUUCAAAAUGGUGUCUAGGACCACAAUCAAGAAUGAUAUAAGGAAGAUUUUCAACAAUUUAAAAUCAACAACUUCUAUGUUACUGGAAAAACUCACAAGUAAAAUUGUAAUAACAACUGAUAUGUGGAUUUCGGACAACACCAAAAAACGGUUCAUGGCUAUUACAACACAUUUUAUUGAUGAUUCAUGGAGACUUCACAGCCAUAUUCUUAGAUUUGUUUAUGUUCCUGCUCCACAUGAUAAUAAUACUUUGUGUAGUGUGUUGCUUAAUUGCUUGUUAGAGUAGAAUCUUGAAAGAAGAAUUUCAACAACUACAGUUGAUAAUUCUAGCACAAACAAUGCUAUGAUGAAAACCUUGCUAGAUGAGAAACUUUGUAAAAGAGAUUUAUUGUGGAUGGGUUGAAAGUUACAUGUGCGAUGUGCCGCACAUAUCUUGAAUUUGAUUGUGCAAGAAGGACUAAAGGUGAUACAAGAUAGUAUUAAUAAUGUGCGUGACAGUGUCUUAUAUUGGAUAGGGUCUUCAGGCAGAAUCGAAAGGUUUGAAGAAGCUGCACGAUUGCUACAUAUUUCUUCUAACAAAAAGUUAGAGUAUGAUUGUUCUACUUGUUGGAACUCAACAUAUCUAAUAUUGAGAACAGCCCUACAAUACAAAGAUGUGUUUAUGAAGUUGAGCCUAAAUGACCUUAGUUAUCGUUGUUUUCCAAUCGAAGGGCAAUGGAGUGCAUCAAAAGAAGUUUGUGAUACAUUAAAGCUUUUCUACCAUAUCACUGAAGAAUUCUCAGGGAGUCAAUAUCCCACUUCUACUCAAUAUUUUUCUAAAGUUUGUGAUAUUAAGCUAGAAUUGGAAGCCUUGGUGAAAAGUUUAAAUCCUUUGAUUAGCUUUAUGACAUCAACAAUGUUGUUGAAAUUUAAAAAAUACUGGGAUGAAGUGCAUAUUUCGAUGGGUAUAGCUGCUAUCUUUGAUCCGAGGUAUAAGAUGAGGUUGGUGGAGUUCUAUCUUACACAUAUUUAUGGUGGAGAAGCUGCUUCAGAUAAAAUUCAAGAAGUUCGAAACUAUUGCGUUGAUCUCUUUCAAGAAUAUAAGAGUAGAGCAGCUGAGUCAUCCCAAGCAUAUAGUUCUAGUGAAGUUGUUGGUCAUGUUGAGGGUGACCGACUGUCUAGUUUUGAUAGGUUUGUUGCGUCGAGUAGCUCGAACGUGGACACAAGAUCGGAGUUGGAUUCUUAUUAAGAAGAAAAUGUGCUACCAUGCACACCAUCAUUUGACACUUUAAAAGUUGGUGGAAGACAAACGGAUUAAAAUUUCCUACUUUACAAAAAUGGCUCGUGACCUCGUGGCCAUUCCUGGCUCUACCGUUGCUUCAGAAUCUGCAUUUAGUACUAGUGGGAGAUUGAUUAGUCCGCAUCGUAGUAGACUUCAUCCUACUACUUUGGGAGGCUUUAAUCGGUGCUCGCACUUGGUUAUGGAACGAAAUAAAUGGUUUGGCUUCAACGGUGGACGAAGUUUCAUGUCCAACAUUACUUGACGGAGAGGAAGAGCCAGAUUCAAGUUGGCUUACUGGUCGAUAGAAGAGGAAGAGAUUAUCAUUUGUUGAUACAAUUUCUUGUGGUUUUGUAAUUUAAAUUUGAUAGAUUUUGUUGAGUAUAGACCUUGCUGUUCAGAUCUGUUUGUAGAUUGUAAAGGGGGAUUUGGGUGUUGCAAUUUGUUACAUAUACCUCCCUGUUAUGUUGGUGUGCGUGGUGAAUGUCAAUAUGGUUUGGGGAUUGAAUACAAUACGAAUUCGAAUGUCA